GAAAUAUCACAUAGAGUGAGUUUCAUGUGAAUAUUUUAUUCAAAAAUAAACUACUCAUCGCACCAAUAUGUGUUAUCUGUAGGAAGUCUGUAAAAUAAAAUUCUGUACAUCUAGAUUGGUCGGUUGUUUUAUAGUGUUAAGUCAGGGGAAUUCGUGGUUUAAUCCUUGUUGAGCCUACGAACUUGAAUUUCUUAGUCCACGUCAUACCAACAAUUUCUGUCAGGACUCAAAUUUAAUGAUUUAAAAAAAUUGAGACCUAAAAUUUUAUUUUUGAAGAUUGAGGUCGAAAAGUUAAUUUAGCAAUUUGCCAAAAAGGAAAGCCAAACUCUCUUUAUUAGGCAAUUCUAUUCCCUCGUAAAUGCAUAAAAGUGAUCGAAAUUUUAGCGAACAGAAAAAAAAAAAUAAAUAAAUAAAUAAAAUAAAAUAAAUUGUGAUUUUUCCAAUCCCAGCUGCGCAUCUCUUCUUGAGUCAUGGUAAAAUCAUAUUUAAUCCGUUUCAGUUUUCAUAAAUUUUAAAUGUGGAUUAGUUUUUUGAAUUUCGUAUUUCAUUGUUUUUGUCGCAUGCGAAUUUGAUGGUACUUCGGGGAUAUUUGCAUUUUAUAUCUGAAUUACACCUUUCUCUAAUCUGAGUUUUUCCUGCUAUUCGCUUGAUGAUCCUUGGAGGAAAUGAAUGCCGUAAUUAUGAGUAAUGAUUCGUGAAACACUUUUUUAUUUCGCUGGAUGAAUCAUUUUGUAGUUUUUACUCGAGAAUUUGCUAGAUGAAUCAUUAUUGCCUACGAUAAAAGUAAAUAUGUAAUUAUUUAUUUAUUUAUUUAUUUAUUUUUUGUGUGUGUAUGGGUGGGGGUGCGGAAUUACUAGAAUAAUUAAUAUUUAGCACAAGCGCAAAUCAUUUAUUAUUUGCCUUUUGAAUUAUGUAAAUCAGUAAAAGGUAGUUUUCAAUUAUCAACUUAAUUUUGGAAUUUGAUGGAUUUUAUGUUUGUGUUGUAGUUGUCAAUUUGAUAAUAUAACAUUAGAAACUAUGAUGUGUCUCUAAGUAAUAACUAUCGGUUCUUUUAUGUAAAUGCUUUCAUUUGUUUUAACUCUCAAUAUUCAUCAAUUGAUUAAAAUAGAAAAUUUGCAUAUUCCCUUUCCCCGCUGUCUUUCAAGGAUGUUCUUUUAAUGUCCCUUUUACAAAUUUUAUGUAAUAGAAGAUGACACCUUUUAUUUAAAAGCUUUGAUCUUAUAAUUCCAAACCAUGUUUAGACACCUGAACCUCUGCGCAGGGAUAUUAGACAAUUUUACCUGGAAAACAAUGUAUUUAGAUCAUCUGUAAAUUAUCUAUAUUUUGGCAUCUCCAAGUGUAUUUAUUCCAAGUUCUUAGUACUAGAUGAUUUGUUAUUCCUUUUCAUUUGCAGACGACCUCAAGGCGUCUUUGAGAUAGGAAGAUAGAGAAGUUCGAAAAGAACGUAAAGAAGAGAGGGAUGGGGCUUGAAACAACUAAAAAGAAGGGCCAUCCUUAUCCUGUGGGUCCAAUCGUGAUCGGAUUCUUCAUAUUUGUUGUCAUUGGAUCAUGUAAGUUGCUGCCAUCACUCACCCUUAUCUGGAGUUCAUUUUCAAUUUUGUUAUGAGGAUGAUUAAGAGGCAUGCACUUAUCUUCGAAGUGAGAUCCUGGUGGACAAAUCUAUGUAUGCAAACAUGCAUAUUUGUGCCAUUUGCCAAUCGUCCUUUAGAUUUAAAUAAACUUUUAAUUUCUGAAAAUCUUUCUAGAACUUAGAUUACAUUCGAGCUGACAAGCAGUGGUAGCAUUCCAUGGCACGUAGGAGCUAGAGGGGGGAUGGUAGGAACAAGUUAAAGAAAAAAUAGGGCUAGAGUGGAACUACCUAUUAGAUUGUGAGAAUUUGUGCUCUAAGGCUAAUCACGAACCAUACAUGUGGCAAUUCAUUGUUUAAUGAACUCGCUGAUAAAAUCAUUAAUGGAAUUUUUCUAAUUAUUCAAUUUUUUGGCCAAAAUAAAAUUUAUCUCCCCCAAAAUUUAUCAUAUACCAUUUCCCAUUCAGACAUGCAUAAUUGUAUUGUCCUUUCACUAAAAUGUCCUCCCGGCAAUCUAGGCAAAGUUGAUGAGGAAGACUAGAAACUCUCGUCGCUUUGCCUAACUUUGAUGAGAAUCCUUAUGUUGUUCGAAUUUCGCACAACAAGGAAAAGAGCGAUAUUGGUACCACUUUUAAAGAGUGAAUGUUAUGGUUGUCCACCGAUUGGAAAAUGGGUAUUAUCUAGAAACUCGAAGUAGUGGACAAUUCAUUUUCGCACUUUAAAAUGUCCUAUGGGGUAAGCUUCGUCAAUCAAUUAUUUUUGGCCACUUAACUUGGAGGAAAUUUACAAAGUGAGAUUUUCAUCUUACUAUCUGGCAAAUCUAAAGUAAGACCAUUUACUUGCACAAACUAGUUACACUGAGAUAUCUGUCAAAUGGUUAGAAAGAUGCCAUCAAAUUGUAUUUGAACAAAUUCCUUAAAUCUUCUCGUAAGAGUUUGAGAGAAUCUGAGCGCAGGUAAGUCAGCUAGCAAUCCAAGGGGCAAAGAAAGGGUAAAAAGUCAGUUCCAUGCCUAUAGUCAUUCUUCUCUCUGCUCUUUCAAAAAUUCUCGUCCAUAUCAGCUUGGUUGAGGAAUUUGGGUUUCGAAAUGUAAGUAUAGACGGUUUAAAUUAUGAAUAGAUAGAAUGAGUGGUAAAUAAGUGGGCAGCACUUUUGGAUCACACGAAAUGUGUGAUAAAAAGUUAUUUGAUCGAUUAUAAAUAGAUAAUAAACAUAGGUUAAAAUUGGAACUCAAUUUGUUGAAGUUAAUAGGUCAUCCAUUUAAGUAGUCCUUUACAUCAUAUUUACCGGUUUUUAUGCUUUACUUACAUGAUAUUGAAGAUUUGUUUGACAAGGCUUCUGCUUCUUAUAGAAGAGCUUCACAAGGAAGCUAUUUUAGGCCAGCUCCCUCUAAGUUUUUCCCAUCAAGCAAAACACUUUCAGAAAAUUAUCCAAAUAGGAUUAAAAUAAGUUUUUUAGUCUUAAAAGCAGUUUUUGACUUUUUAAAAGCCCUGUCAAAUGGGCCCUAGUUUUUCCCACCUGCUAAUAUUUUUGUCAUUGAGUAGCAACGCUAAUACUGUAUUUUAUAGCUACAAGUUCUGCCCUCAUGGUUCCUAAUCCGACCACUUACUUAUUUCUAUUCACUUUUCUCUUUUGCCAGCUUUAUUUCAGAUAAUCCGCACAGCAAUGAGCGGAGGCUUGGCUUGAGUUUCGUAUUAGCAAUGAGAUUGGGUAUAUGUGGUGUUGGUUCACUUAGGUGUGACAUAGUAAUGAACAGCGGAAGUGAAAAUUCCUUGUGUAUUGAAUUUGAUGUUCAAUUUUAGGCGUCUUCCUGUGGUAGAUUGAAAUGCCAUAGUCGAUACAGUUUUGUCAAUCAUGAAUUAACUAUCUUAUUUACUAGUUUGUUGUAGAAAGUUUUAGCAAUAUACUGAUAUAACAAUCUAUACGUAUAUUUGCACUCUUCUCAAAUGUUUUUUGCUGUUUAUUGUGUGUGCAUAGUGGCUUUGCAUGGCUGGUGUUUUUCCCACUUGUGAAACAGAGCCAGUUGUGCAGAUAAACCGGAUUAACCGGGAUCUGGUUGG
rnacentral:lncRNA from 1 species